GAUCACAUUUGUACAGUUCGAUACUCGAUAGUUAUUUGAAGCUCGCUCUUCAUGUGUAGGAGGUAGAGUAUACGUACUUACGAGAAACAACUACGUUUGUUGAAACAACUGCAGUUUUCAGAUCACAUAGCAAACUCGAGAGUUAUUUGAUUUAUUUGCAUGUGCAACUCGCUACAAAUGUUUGUGAAUAUGCAAACAUCCACGAGGAUCAACUAACUAAAUACUUUCAGCUAUUGACCAGUCAUGUGAUACAAAUGCUGACUGCGACACUUCAGCCGACCUCGUGUGUGACAUGGCCUCAACCACAAAGACAUGCAAAAAGGGUCAUGGCAAAGUUGCACAGCCAAUCAAUGCAUGACAAACGCAGAGUGUUCCACGUCUUGUACUACGUGUCAAUGUUCUGAUGGAUAUUCAUAUGACAGUACCAGCCACAUGUGCAGUUUGACUAGCUCAUCGGUUGCGGCAGUUCUUUCAUCUUUGCUACUGGCGUUCUGCCUCCUCAUCUCUGCAGUCUAGGAAAGAGGACAUAACAAUAUGACCCACAAGAGAUGAAUGGAAAUAUGUAGUUUUAUAAUUAGUUCGUUAGUUUUUAAAAGUAAAACCAAAACUAUCUGGUAAUUUUCCCAACAUUUAAGGGAAAACUUUUUGGUAUAAUAGUUUUAAGUUUCGUGUGGCAGAUAUGUUUGAAACAUUAAUGAAUGGGUAUAUAGUUCACAAAUAAAACAUGACCUAAUACUAUUUCGAAUUCACCCCAGAUUAUUUUGAUCAAAUGCAGGAUAUUGAUUUUAAAAUACAGCAACGACAAUAUAUGUUUAUAUAACAUCGUAGAUGAAUUACUUAGUGUAACAACCCAUCAAAAUAAAAAAAAACAAUCAUUUUUCUUUGAAACAAAUAUCAGAACUUUUGUACAUAAUUGUGUGAUUUGUUUGCUGUGCGUUUUAAAAACACCACUGAUAUUUAAGCGGAAUAACGUAACGGUUUGAGGUUACAAAUCACAUGAUGCUUUCAACAGUCGAAAUAUGGUCAUAUAUGUUCGGUAUAAUAAUGAUAUUUGGAUUUGAAAAAGCAUAACAAAGUGGUUUAUGUGAAAACUCCUUAUGUUUUGAAACUUGAAAG